AGCAGCAGAGGUGAACACAUCCCGCAUUCAACCCUCGCCUUUUACUAGAGUUGACCGUGCGUCUGCCUCAAUCAAUGCUGCAAACCAAUUUUUCGGACAAAUAUCCUUCCUGGAUUAU
rnacentral:snRNA from 1 species